rnacentral:rRNA from 1 species
AGAGUUUGAUCAUGGCUCAGAUUGAACGCUGGCGGCAGGCCUAACACAUGCAAGUCGAGCGAGACCUUCGGGUCUAGCGGCGGACGGGUGAGUAACGCGUGGGAACGUGCCCUUCUCUACGGAAUAGCCCCGGGAAACUGGGAGUAAUACCGUAUACGCCCUUUGGGGGAAAGAUUUAUCGGAGAAGGAUCGGCCCGCGUUGGAUUAGGUAGUUGGUGAGGUAACGGCUCACCAAGCCGACGAUCCAUAGCUGGUUUGAGAGGAUGAUCAGCCACACUGGGACUGAGACACGGCCCAGACUCCUACGGGAGGCAGCAGUGGGGAAUCUUAGACAAUGGGGGCAACCCUGAUCUAGCCAUGCCGCGUGAGUGAUGAAGGCCUUAGGGUUGUAAAGCUCUUUCAGCUGGGAAGAUAAUGACGGUACCAGCAGAAGAAGCCCCGGCUAACUCCGUGCCAGCAGCCGCGGUAAUACGGAGGGGGCUAGCGUUGUUCGGAAUUACUGGGCGUAAAGCGCACGUAGGCGGACUGGAAAGUCAGAGGUGAAAUCCCAGGGCUCAACCUUGGAACUGCCUUUGAAACUAUCAGUCUGGAGUUCGAGAGAGGUGAGUGGAAUUCCGAGUGUAGAGGUGAAAUUCGUAGAUAUUCGGAGGAACACCAGUGGCGAAGGCGGCUCACUGGCUCGAUACUGACGCUGAG